GAUGAACGCUAGCUACAGGCUUAACACAUGCAAGUCGAGGGGCAGCGGUAUCGAAAGCUUGCUUUCGGUAGCCGGCGACCGGCGCACGGGUGAGUAACGCGUAUCGAACCUGCCUCAUACUCGGGAAUAGCCUUGCGAAAGUAAGAUUAAUGCCCGGUGUUUUCAGAGUCCCGCAUGAGGCUUUGAACAAAGAUUUAUCGGUAUGAGAUGGCGAUGCGUCCCAUUAGCUUGUUGGCGGGGUAACGGCCCACCAAGGCAUCGAUGGGUAGGGGUUCUGAGAGGAAGGUCCCCCACAUUGGAACUGAGACACGGUCCAAACUCCUACGGGAGGCGGCAGUGAGGAAUAUUGGUCAAUGGGCGGAAGCCUGAACCAGCCAAGUAGCGUGCAGGAAGACGGCCCUCCGGGUUGUAAACUGCUUUUAGUUGGGAAUAAAACGGGGCUCGUGAGCCCCCUUGCAUGUACCAUCAGAAAAAGGACCGGCUAAUUCCGUG
rnacentral:rRNA from 1 species